rnacentral:rRNA from 1 species
UAUUGCACAAUGGGCGCAAGCCUGAUGCAGCCAUGCCGCGUGUGUGAAGAAGGCCUUCGGGUUGUAAAGCACUUUCAGUCAGGAGGAAAGGUUAGUAGUUAAUACCUGCUAGCUGUGACGUUACUGACAGAAGAAGCACCGGCUAACUCCGUGCCAGCAGCCGCGGUAAUACGGAGGGUGCGAGCGUUAAUCGGAAUUACUGGGCGUAAAGCGUACGCAGGCGGUUUGUUAAGCGAGAUGUGAGAGCCCCGGGCUCAACCUGGGAACUGCAUUUCGAACUGGCAAACUAGAGUGUGAUAGAGGGUGGUAGAAUUUCAGGUGUAGCGGUGAAAUGCGUAGAGAUCUGAAGGAAUACCGAUGGCGAAGGCAGCCACCUGGGUCAACACUGACGCUCAUUACGAAA